AUACGAAGGGUGCAAGCGUUACUCGGAAUUACUGGGCGUACAGCGUGCGUAGGUGGUUGUUUAAGUCUGUCGUGAAAGCCCUGGGCUCAACCUGGGAAUGGCGAUGGAAACUGGGCGACUAGAGUGUGGCAGAGGGUAGUGGAAUUCCUGGUGUAGCAGUGAAAUGCGUAGAGAUCAGGAGGAACAUCCGUGGCGAAGGCGACUGCCUGGGCCAACACUGACACUGAGGCACGAAAGCGUGGGGAGCAAACAGGAUUAGAUACCCUGGUAGUCCACGCCCUAAACGAUGCGAACUGGAUGUUGGGUGCAAUUUGGCACGCAGUAUCGAAGCUAACGCGUUAAGUUCGCCGCCUGGGGAGUACGGCCGCAAGGCUUAAAAUCAAAUGAAUUGACGGG
rnacentral:rRNA from 1 species